rnacentral:rRNA from 1 species
GGGUCAGUAGGUUGGUCGUGCCACCGGUACGUACUGGUCUCACUGAUUCCUCCUUCCUGAAGAACCGUAAUGCCAUUAAUUUGGUGUUGCGGGGAAACAGGACUGUUACUCUGAGAAAAUUAGAGUGUUUAAAGCAAGCUAACGCUUGAAUACAUUAGCAUGGAAUAAUGAAAUAGGACGAUCGAUCCUAUUUUGUUGGUUUCUAGGAUUGACGUA